UACGUAGGUGGCAAGCGUUGUCCGGAUUUACUGGGCGUAAAGAGCGCGCAGGCGGUCGGAUCAGUCGAAUGUGAAAGCCCCCGGCUCAACUGGGGAGGGUCAUUCGAUACUGUCCGACUCGAAGGCAGGAGAGGGAAGCGGAAUUCCCGGUGUAGUGGUGAAAUGCGUAGAUAUCUGGAGGAAUACCGGUGGCGAAGGCGGCAUCCUGGACCGAGAUUGACGCUGAUGCGCGAAAGCCAGGGGAGCAAAGCGGG
rnacentral:rRNA from 1 species